UACAGAGGUCCCGAGCGUUGUUCGGAUUCACUGGGCGUAAAGGGUGCGUAGGUGGUGGGGUAAGUCGGAUGUGAAAUCUCGGAGCUCAACUCCGAAAAGGCAUUGGAAACUGCCCUGCUUGAGGGUUGGAGGGGGGACUGGAAUGCUUGGUGUAGCAGUGAAAUGCGUAGAUAUCAAGCGGAACACCGGUGGCGAAGGCGAGUCCCUGGACAACACCUGACACUGAGGCACGAAAGCUAGGGGAGCAAACAGG
rnacentral:rRNA from 1 species